rnacentral:rRNA from 1 species
AGAGUGAACGCUGGCGGCAGGCCUAAUACAUGCAAGUCGAACGGCAGCACGGCAGAGCUUGCUCUGUGGGUGGCGAGUGGCGGACGGGUGAGGAAUACAUGGGAAUCUGCCCAGUCGUGGGGGAUAACGUAUGGAACCGUACGCUAAUACCGCAUGCGCCCUUCGGGGGAAAGCCGGGACCUUCGGGCCUGGCGCGAUUGGAUGAGCCCAUGUCGGAUUAGCUAGUUGGCGGGGUAACGCCCACCAAGG